GACCGUUCGUCAGUGCAAAACUCAACCUCCCUCGAUUCCGCUUCCAUGCAUCGUGAUAAAAAUCGAGAAGUCCUCUUCCCAGAGAUCAUGCGUAGAUCUAACGUUAUGCGGUCUAUAUGCCAUGCUAUGAGUCGUGCCCUAUUCUGUGGGUCACCCAUGGACCAAGCGGCCAGUCUACCGUACACUGAAAGUCAUUUUAGGUUGAUUUUUGGGUCAAUUUUGGUUCUGAUUUUUGUAUGAUUUUUCUUCUUUUUCACUUC
rnacentral:lncRNA from 1 species